GUUCUGACUCUCCCUCGGGUCCUUGGCUGACGUCUCGAACAGCAGCAUGUUGUGGGCAUCAGCAAACUUCAACGCCAUAUUGGAGGGCACCUGGGAAAGCAUCAGUGUUUGGUUGUAAACCUUAAUUCAAUAAGGUUGCGGAAGGAAGCCAUCUUGGUGACGUCAUACACAAAGACCACUGCAUGGACGUUGCGGUAGUAGUGCUCCACCAUGGAUUUACGAAAGCGCUCCUGACCUGCUGUGUCCCAUACCUGCACCUGUGGAGGUAGACAAGGACAGUUGACGGUCAUGGCUGCCUUGCUGCUGUUAUGCCACCUGAUAAACUGAC